GAGGGAGCCAGCCUCUGGCAGGAGGGCGUGGAGCCCGGUGCAAGCCAGAACAGGUCCAGCCUUCCCGCGGCCAGCGCCAGCAGCGGGAGGGGACAGGCGAGGGCCAGCGGGUGCAGCCCGGGGUGAGGACCAGCGGGAAGCGGCCGGCAAGAAACUCCCUUGGAUCCGCUGGGAGCUGCUGGACCCUGCCGGUCCCUGUCCCAGCUCCCAGCCAUCUUGGGGGAGAAGUUUCCCGAGGGCAGGUACCAGACAGAUCGCGUGCUGGAGGGGACGCAGGUUAACUAAACUCUCAGCUUUAAACCAACAGUAAGAGGAGACAUUAAGAUUUUCAUUCUUUCUGGGUUGUCUCCUUCCUGAAGAGCAAUGGAAACACUUUUACCUAGAAGAGGAGUAAUCAUAUCUCUAAUUUUCUUCCUGUUAAAAUUCUCAACAGCAAUUGAAAUACCACCCUCAGUUCAACAGGUUCCAACAAUCAUAAAACAGUCAAAAGUCCAAGUUGCCUUUCCCUUUGAUGAGUAUUUUCAAAUUGAAUGUGAAGCUAAAGGGAAUCCAGAACCAACGUGAGUAUUCUUUCAAAUUAAA
rnacentral:lncRNA from 1 species